rnacentral:rRNA from 1 species
UACAGAGGUCUCAAGCGUUUGUUCGGGAUUCAUUGGGCGUAAAGGGUGUGUAGGUGGCGCGUAAGUCGGGUGUGAAAUUUCGGAGCUUAACUCCGAAACUGCAUUCGAUACUGCGGUGCUUGAGGACUGGAGAGGAGACUGGAAUUUAUGGUGUAGCAGUGAAAUGCGUAGAGAUCAGAUGAAGGAACCCGUGGCGAAGGCGGGUCUCUGAGAUCGUGACA